rnacentral:tRNA from 1 species
GGCCUGGUGGCGCAAUGGUAGCGCGUUCGACUCCAGUUCGAGGGUGUUACUCUCCUGGUCACAUCGAAAGGUUCCGUGUUCAAGUCACGUUCGGGUCA